rnacentral:rRNA from 1 species
UACGGGGGGGGCAAGCGUUGUUCGGAAUUACUGGGCGUAAAGGGCGCGUAGGCGGCGUGUUAAGUCACUUGUGAAAUCUCUGAGCUUAACUCAGAACGGUCAAGUGAUACUGAUGUGCUAGAGUGCAGAAGGGGCAACCGGAAUUCUUGGUGUAGCGGUGAAAUGCGUAGAUAUCAAGAGGAACACCUGAGGUGAAGACGGGUUGCUGGGCUGACACUGACGCUGAGGCGCGAAAGCUAGGGUAGCAAACGGG